UGCCUACGGGGCGCAGCAGUGGGGAAUAUUGCACAAUGGGGGGAACCCUGAUGCAGCGACGCCGCGUGAGUGAAGAAGUAUUUCGGUAUGUAAAGCUCUAUCAGCAGGGAAGAAGAUGACGGUACCUGGCUAAGAAGCCCCGGCUAACUACGUGCCAGCAGCCGCGGUAAUACGGAGGAUGCGAGCGUUAUCCGGAUUUAUUGGGUUUAAAGGGUGCGUAGGCGGACUGUUAAGUCAGCGGUAAAAGCCCGGGGCUCAACCCCGGCGAGCCGUUGAAACUGGCUGUCUUGAGAUGUCGAGAGGUA
rnacentral:rRNA from 1 species